rnacentral:lncRNA from 1 species
AUGAAUCAUGAACUACUGAUUUUAAUAAAUUAUUAUUUAUGCAUAUGAUUUCACCAACGGGUCGAAACGGGUUGUUGAUAGAAAAUAGUAGAAUGGAUGUGUAAAAAACCAAGGUGUUAAGAAAUGGUAUGAAAUGUUUAACGUAUGAAACAAGUUGCCUAACUUAGAAAAUGUUAUCAUUCUAAGUAUGGAAUUUUGAAAGAAUAAUGAACAUGAUGUAAAUACAUAAUUAUGCAUGCUAGAAGCUCAUGUAUGACUUUUGUGAUGAUGAAAUGAUAAAUUGUUAGAUUGAUUAGCAUUGUAGUAUUAUGAUACAUGUUGAACUCGUUAAGCGAUUGACACGUGAAUAGAAGUGUGAUUAGUGAUGCGUAUGAUUACGUAUACUAACUAUUGAAUGGAUGUAAUGGAAUGAGAUAAUAGGAACGUGUCAAGGAGAGCUCAAGCAUAGGAGGAUAACGGGUCAAGAUAAGGCAAGGUCACAAAUACACUUAUUGGAGCACUCAAGGUAAGUGAUUUCUAUAAUCACUUCUUAUUUUAUUUAAGUAAAGUAGCGUUAGUUGAUUAAGCAUGAUGGGGUUUGAAGUUUCAUAUGGUUUUGGUCGUAUGAAAUUGGUAAUUUUAGCUUAGUAGACCGAAUGGGACAAUAUAAAGUUGUAAUGCUAUGUAGAAUAAUGUCUAUGUAAUGGCUACGGUAUGUAACCGGGUAAUGGGUAAAAUUGCACAUAAGUGCACCAACCGAGAAUGGGGACUUAGGUUAAUGGGUCAAAGUGAAGGUAUACUUUAGCACGGAACGUUUGUACAAGCAAUGUCGAUAGUAUUUCAUGUGCCCGGUUAGUGUAAGGUGUUAUAACAUUAACAUUAUGUGAGCCUUAAGUGUAAACAUAUGAGUUGUUGAUAAAUGCAUGACGGGUCGAAUAAUUCGUAAUGGAUAAUAAGCCGAAAAUGUAUAAGUUAAGAAUUUCCUUAACCCGGAUGUUGGAUUUUAAGUUC